rnacentral:rRNA from 1 species
GAUGAACGCUGGCGGCGUGCUUAACACAUGCAAGUCGAACGGAAAGGCCCAAGCUUGCUUGGGUACUCGAGUGGCGAACGGGUGAGUAACACGUGGGUGAUCUGCCCUGCACUUCGGGAUAAGCCUGGGAAACUGGGUCUAAUACCGGAUAGGACGAUGGUUUGGACGCCAUUGUGGAAAGUUUUUUCGGUGUGGGAUGAGCUCGCGGCCUAUCAGCUUGUUGGUGGGGUAAUGGCCUACCAAGGCGUCGACGGGUAGCCGGCCUGAGAGGGUGUACGGCCACAUUGGGACUGAGAUACGGCCCAGACUCCUACGGGAGGCAGCAGUGGGGAAUAUUGCACAAUGGGCGCAAGCCUGAUGCAGCGACGCCGCGUGGGGGAUGACGGCCUUCGGGUUGUAAACUCCUUUCGCUAGGGACGAAGCGUUUUUGUGACGGUACCUGGAGAAGAAGCACCGGCUAACUACGUG